CCUACGGGAGGCUGCAGUGGGGAAUAUUGGACAAUGGGGGGAACCCUGAUCCAGCCAUGCCGCGUGUGUGAAGAAGGCCCUCGGGUUGUAAAGCACUUUCAGUGAGGAAGAACGCCUGGUGGUUAAUACCCAUCAGGAAAGACAUCACUCACAGAAGAAGCACCGGCUAACUCCGUGCCAGCAGCCGCGGUAAUACGGAGGGUGCGAGCGUUAAUCGGAAUUACUGGGCGUAAAGCGCGCGUAGGUGGCUUGAUAAGCCGGUUGUGAAAGCCCCGGGCUCAACCUGGGAACGGCAUCCGGAACUGUCAAGCUAGAGUGCAGGAGAGGAAGGUAGAAUUCCCGGUGUAGCGGUGAAAUGCGUAGAGAUCGGGAGGAAUACCAGUGGCGAAGGCGGCCUUCUGGACUGACACUGACACUGAGGUGCGGAAGCGUGGGUAGCAAACAGGAUUAGAUACCCUGGUAGUC
rnacentral:rRNA from 1 species